GGCCCCGUGGAUGGAUAAGAAAGGUUCCGUCACCCCCUGGAGGAAUCCGUGACCGCCCACAUCCAUCUCCCCCUCUUCCCCCCAUCUCCACCUCUCCCUCUCUGUCGUUCUGGAGGAAGGGCCGACGCGCCCUCCGCCGUCCACCACGCGCCACCGCGGCCAUCGACCUCCCCUCGACACUCCGCCCUGACCAGGAGCUCCGGGACGCUCCUCCGCUUCUUCUUCGCCAACUAGCACAAGCCGGGACGCCACAUCGACGCCGCCCUCGCCAAUCCCCUCCGCUGGCGUCCGCCUCUGCCUCACCGUCGAUCCGCCGCCAUCCGCCGCUCGGUUUGCCCAUCGUCGACAAGCUCCGGCCAACCCGACCCCUCCACGAUCUUUGGUGUGAGCUCCCGCAUCCGUUCCCCCUAUUUUUUUACCCUCAAAUUCGGCGCUGUUUGGCCGUCCCUUGCAUUCCCCGCCAUGGAAGGGAGCUCGGCUCCACGCGCCCGUGUGCCCCCUGACCACCCCUGCUCCUGCGUGACCCGUGCUUCGGCUCCACUCAGCGCGCACGCGUGCCUAGCCGUGAUGCCCCCGCUUGCUAUUGCUCUCUUGCGUUGGCUGCCGCUGAUGCUCUUCCGCUGCUACUGCUUUGAACUGCCGCUAUGCUGUUGCUACUGCUGCUUAUUGCUGCUGUAUCUGCUAGUUGCCGCCGCUGCUGCUCCGUGCUUAUGCUGCUGCUUGGUUGCUUCUGCUACUGCAGCCUGCUACCUCCGGCUGCGGCUGCUACUGGCCAUGGCCGUGGUGUGUGUGAGUGUGCUGUGUGUGUAUGCAGCGUGGUGUGUGUGAAUGUGCUGUGUGAGUGCAUGUGUGUGUGAGUGGGUGUGGUGCCGGCCCAAACUAGUUUAGGUCUAGAUUAGUUCUAGGAUUAAUUCUGCUAUUUAGAUAGUAUCAGUUUAGUGCUGAUUAGCCUAAUAGCUUAUGACCCGUGGCCCUCUGUUUUAAAUUAGUUUAGUUAAUUCUCUUUUUGCACAUGGGCAAAUGACAAAUGAGCCCCACUUUGACCCUGUUGACUUGUCAACCCUGAUUGGUCAACUAUUGACUUUGACCCUGGCCCCACUGUCAUACACAUGGCUAGCCCCCUAGUAGGUGUAAAAAGGAUUCUGCCUAUUUAGUAAUUAAACGAAUUAGAUAAAUAAAAGGAAUGUAGAAAAUGCUUAAAACUUUGGAAAAUCAUAGAAAUUAAACCGUAGCUCGAAUCGAAAAACUUUCCACAUCAAAGUUGCUUAGAACAACGAGACAAAUCCGAAUACACAGUCCGUCCGUCUGCCGCACGCCCUUAGCAUAGGAAACCUGCAACCGUCCCCAUCGGUUCGUUUGUCCGAAAAUGCCAAACUUUGGGGAAACAUUCCCGGAUGCUCUCCCCUUUGCCGGUAUCGUGUAGCACCGCGUUAGAACACGCCUAACACCGCGUAUCGUCAUGUCAUGCUUAGUGCUGCAACUGUAUGCUUGUAUUUACUGUUUCUUCCCCCUCUUCUCUCCGGUAGACCCCGAGAUUGCCGCUGAUGCCGCUGUGAUCGACUACGUCGACGACGACCCCUUCUUCUUGUCUGAGCAACCAGGCAAGCCCCCCCUUUGAUCAUCCCUAUAUCACCCAUUCCACUCUCUCAUGCUUGUAUUAGAUUUUGUACUGUUAUUUGAUUGCUCCUAUUCUGAUGCAUAGCCUGCUUUUGUAGUUGUUGUUGUACCUUACCUGCUUAUCCUAAACUGCUUAGUAUAGGUUGGUUCAUGAUUCAUCAGUGACCCCCACUUGUCCUUGUUGCCCCUACUUCAUCAUCGACGACUCGAUCUACGUGAUCGAAGAACAGAGCCCGACACCUCACAUCACAUCACGCCCCUUUUGUUGCUCGACUCUAUAGAGCUACUAUCGAGUGCCGAGGGUGAUCCCUCAUAACGCACUCCUGAUGUUAAUUCUGUAGUGUAGCUAUUCAGUCGUGGUCAUCGAGGGUCAUUUCCUCUUUCACCAUUCCCUAUACGGCUCUGUCGUUCAACACCUCAAGUGUGAACCUCGAGGGUGGUCCCUCUUACGUUCACCUUGAUGAUUACAUUGAGUGGAAUCAUCUGGGGGUGAUUCCUCGGGUUUUCCCCUUAAUGUUUGGACACACGGUUACCUUUACAUUACUUGACACCUUUGGGAAAGUCGGGCGGGCCCGGAGAGCACCCGCAAGAUGGUUACAACGCACGGCCGGGAAGUCAGGCAGCCCUCAAGUGGGCUGGGCUUGCCCUUGUCGUAUUUCCUCGAGACGGGGCGACGGGGUCACAUUAUCGUGAGUCUCUGCUCGUCUCCGCGAGCCCCCAAUGCACUAACAGGUUCGGGUAUUUGUUCCUAGUUGGCCUUUACGCACUAACCACCACGCGAGAAUAGAUAUGGGCCUCGACGUCGUGGUAUCAGCCGAAGCUUUGUCAGAUGUCCAGUUCAGCAUUGUGGCACGGUCGGAUCAUGCCAUCCACUACACGGGUGGUGCUGGUAUCCACCCUGCACACAACGACCCGGAGUGCAACGGGCGAUGGGCCCAAACCCCGGAGUGCUUAGGAUGUAGAAGGCGGGGACCUCUCUGCUGAACCUAGGUAGGGCUACGACGUGUUGAUCUUCCAAGGCCGGGCAUUGACCCCAGAAAGGUGUGUCCGGCCAGAGUGAUCGAGCGUGUUGGGUAACGUGGUGCACCCCUGCAGGGAAGAUAUAUAUAUUCGAAUACCGUGUCCACGGUAAUGGACGUUCAGACUUGUAUCCUGAUCUUAUACAACUAGAAAUGGAUACUUGAUAUGUGAUGGAUAUGUGGCCCUGAGAUUGCUUUCUCGUAGGGAGGCGAGGAAGGACCUCUGGGCGUUGAUACUACAACAUGUUUGUUAAUAUAAACUGCUAUUCUUUACUCUUCUACAUGUUGCAAGAUGCUUGGAGCUGCUUGAAGAUGCAAGUCUUCGAUAGGCUAGGCCUUCCCCUCUAUUCUGGCAUUCUGCAGUUCAAUCCACAGAUAUAGCCCUUCCAUUUGAUACCAAUGCAUACUUAGCAUAGAUCUGAUGCUUGCGAGUACUUUGGAUGAGUACUCACGGUUGCUUUGCUACCCCUUUUCCCCCUUCCUUCUUUCCGGUUGAUGCAACCAGAUGGUGUACCCCUGGAGCCAGAAGCCACCGUUGACGGAUACUACUACGUGGAGACCGCCGACGACCAAGAGUAGUUAGGAGGUCUCAGGCAGGAGGCCUUGCCUCUUCGAUCGUUGAUGUUUGUGCUAGCCUUUUAAGGCAUCCUUGUCUAACUUAUGUCUGUACUCAGAUAUUGUUGCUUCCGCUGACUCUUGUGUAUCGAGCUUGUAUUCGAGCCCUCGAGGCCCUGGCUUGUAAUAUGAAGCUUGUAUUACUUUGAUUUGUGUCUAGAGUUGUAUUGUGAUAUCUUUCCCUGAGUCCCUGAUCUUGAUCGUACACAUUUGCGUGUAUGAUUAGUGUACGGUCGAAUCGGGAGCGUCAGAAGUUGGUAUUAGAGCCGACUGCCUGUAGGAUCCCCUUUCCAACUCCUUGACCAAAGUUGAGUCUAGUCAAAGAAAAACUGUUUUACUAACAUGGCUGUGUGGCUUAUCGGCCCACGUCGCCAUUGGGUGGUAUUAGGAUCUUUUAUUCCUCGUCUAUACUCUGGGACUCUGACCUCUCUUCUAUUCGGGUUAAAUGAUUUUGUUAACUCUAACUCUAGGUUCUCGUAAAUACUUUCUCCCGGAGAGCCCCUCAUUCCAGAUGAUUGCUUGGUGUACCAGAAGAUUCUGAAGAUACUCUCCGAUGUUUUCUUGAGACCCUUGUACCCUUCGCCGUUGCGAUCCCUACCACCGAUAAAUCCUUAUGCGUAACUACCUACGUGUCAUUCAUACCUUCAUCCCCAGUUGCCCUUGUUAUUACAAGAUGUCCUGAAAUACUCUCUGAUGUUCCGAGAAUCCUUUAUGCUUACUGCCCUGCAGUUCCUUGCCGCAUGAAUAACCCUAUGAAUAAUUCCUCACACUUUUCGAGGAUUUGUUCAUUCCUAGUUGAUCAAGUGAUUCACAAGAUACUUUGGAAUACUAUCCGAUCUUCCUAUAAUCCUCUCCAACUAUUGCUCGGCAAAUACUUGUCUGCUUGCAUUAUGGAUACUUUCCAGAUGUCUGGCAAUAUUCAGCAGUAUCCUUUAUCAUCUUUAUUCUGAACAUUUGAUUCGAUAUGCUUGUGAAUGCUUGCAAUCAUCAUUCACUGUUAGAAUUCUUCCCAUCGGCUCAGACGUCACCCCUGACAUGAGCUGGUGUUCGACAAAUCAAACCUUGAUUGAUUGUCGAUCUAUGUCUAUUCAACUUACCUGUCUUUGAUCAGAGCCUCUGCUUCUGAUCCACCAUUUUGGAAAUCAUAUUUACUUUGCAUUUGAGCUUUGAAUUAGUCAGUUAUUUCUAUAAUCUGAUAUCCUUGCAUUCUUUCUUUUCUGGUGGAGUACCGAUGCUCACAUCAUAUCCCUUGUGAACCACCAGAUCCUUUAUGGGGUUCUAUCCGACAGCGUCCUUCAUAUUCAGUAACCUUGUGAGCCUUUCCUCGGAUACAUAAUGCCUUUGGUAAAUUGUAUCUUCUGCUUUCUCAACCAUACUCUGCUUUCAGGCUUGAGUUAUUUACUCGUGAAGUUUAUGGUAUAUGUUACUAAGAUGACCCUGAUGGGUUGAACCUAUGCCUUUUCCCUAAUCUGUGUGAACCCGGAGACCUCUAUGGGUCAUACUCUACUGGUGUUAUGCCAGAUAAAAUCUUAACACUACAGCUUCAUCGAAAACGGGAACUGAAUGGAAGGUUGUGCAUUAGAGAAGUGGGAGUCGACCUUGAACCUUUGUGUUCAUGCCCAUGGACCCGAUGUGGAACUUAUCAUGGAAGCUUCUUGUUACAAUAAUAAUCCCCCUUUGAUAAAUUCAUCUUGUAUCUAUAUUUGGACCUUUGCAACCGUGGUUCAGACCAUGAUUGUUCUCCUUUGAUUCCAUUCUCGGACAAGUUAAAGUACUUGUCUUCUUCAGAUCGUUUCACCUGUCAAACUUGUACUUUGAUCUACCUUUGGGUAUUACCCUCUCGUAUCUCGAGAAUAUCACGGAACUACAUAACUUCCUAUGAGUUCUUCGUCAAUUAGUAUUUCUCACCGAUUCCAAGUUUCCACGCGCCCUGAGUUGUUAGACACUCGAGAACACCGAUAACUGAUUCGAGUCCACUUUCCUUUCCAUUGUUUUGUUUAACCUUUCUUGUAACCUAACUUAUCUGAGCAGUGAUAAUUCCUUGCUUAUGUAAACACCUCGGUGUACAUACUUUGUCAGUAAGACCUUGUUACUAUUGUUGAUGACAUUCCGGUAGCCACCGAUGGACGAGAACUUUGCCUAUUGGUGCGCCUCGUUUCAACGAGCAGGAAUAUGGUUCUCUUUGUCCCUCGCCCUUGGUACCAACGAUGCUGCCAACAUAACUGACAGGCUAUCCUCUGACCUGCCUUGCUAUCAUAACCGUGCAAAUGUUAGCAGCCUUCCUACUUCUAACCCACAUGGUGGGCCCAUAACCCACAGUUCCACAGGAUCGAAACCUGACUCUCCUUGUUUUCAAAGUUGUCCCUCGCGCUUGGCUUCGUAUGUAAUUCACGAGCCACCAUCCUUGUGAUCUGUUCUGGUAUCAGAUGAAAUACUUAUUCUCGAUGCUCUGAACCCCUUUCACACUCUGUUUCAGACAUUGAACGAUUGUCCAUCGGCUUGAAGCUUCUUAUUGCACCUUCUUACCUUGUUCUCGAUGACUUUCUUAAAUUUCAACUCGAGAGAUGCCUCUAUGCCACGUUCACUGACAUAGUCCCCACGUACCUAUCCUGUGUUGAGCUCCGUCCUUCUCGAGUCUUUCCCCUUACUCCACCUCUUAAAUCUCGAGACGAGAUUUCUUGUAGUGGAGGAGAUUUGUAACAACCCGAGAUUCAUGCUACAGUAAUCUCCCCUUAAUGGUGGCCAUGUCAUCAUGAUUACUAUGUAGCUUGCCACUUGUCCAAAAAUCAAGCCUUUUUCAAAUUUAAAAUAGGUCGAAUAAAUUAUUUCUUUGGGCAGUAAAACUAAAAUGUUCACCUUAUCCUAUAAAUUUCCCAUGAUCAUGGUCAUGUUGAAUCCAACAUUAUUUGACCCACCAAUUAAUUCCUAGGAAUUUAUGACGUGGGCCAACAACAAAUAAAAUGGUCUUUUCAAUUUAAACAAUUGUUUAAACUUUCCCAAAUAAAAUGAAACUUCGUGUGUAGCACCAAAAUAUUGUACUUGAGUUAUGUGUGGAGUACCAUGUAGAACUAAAAUCAUUUGUUGAUGACAAUAAAUAAAACAAGAGCUAUAGCAAUAAACAGAAAGGAAAGUAAUGAAACAAAAUACUCUACUGUGCACUAGGCCCAACCGUGGCCACAGUGCGGCCCAGCCCAGCACCACGACCUUUUCUUCGACCUCUCGGCAGGAGAGGCAGAGGAAGGCGUGGCGGCCAUCCAGGCCACCAUGGCUGUCGAUGUCGCCGUGUCGGCGAUCCCGCAGCCUCGUGGAUGGAUAAGAACGGUUCCGUCACCCCCUGGAGGAACCCUAGACUGCCCACAUCCGUCUCCCCAUUUUCCCUCGAUCUCCACCUCUCCCUCUCUGUCGUUCUGGAGGAAGGGCCGACGCGCCCUCCGCCAUCCACCACGCGCCACCGCGGCCAUCGACCUCCCCUCGACACUCCGCCCUGACCAGGAGCUCCGGGACGCUCCUC
rnacentral:lncRNA from 1 species